GAUGAAGAACGUAGCGAAAUGCGAUACGUAAUGUGAAUUGCAAAUUCAGUGAAUCAUCGAGUCUUUGAACGCACAUUGCGCCCCCUGGUAUUCCGGGGGGCAUGCCUGUCCGAGCGUCAUUGCUGCCCUCAAGCACGGCUUGUGUGUUGGGCCCCGUCCUCCGAUCCCGGGGGACGGGCCCGAAAGGCAGCGGCGGCACCGCGUCCGGUCCUCGAGCGUAUGGGGCUUUGCCACCCGCUCUGUAGGCCCGGCCGGCGCUUGCCGAUCAACCCAAAUUUUUAUCCAGGUUGACCUCGGAUCAGGUAGGGAUACCCGCUGAACUUAAGCAUAUCAAUAAGCGGAGGA
rnacentral:misc_RNA from 1 species